UCCCCGGUAGCUCAGCUGGCAGAGCGAUCGGCUGUUAACCGAUUGGUCGCUGGUUCGAAUCCGGCCCGGGGAG
rnacentral:tRNA from 1 species